AUUGAACGCUGGCGGCAGGCCUAACACAUGCAAGUCGAACGGUAACAGGGAUCAGCUUGCUGAUUCGCUGACGCGUGGCGGACGGGUGAGUAAUGUCUGGGAAACUGCCUGAUGGAGGGGGAUAACUACUGGAAACGGUAGCUAAUACCGCAUAACGUCGCAAGACCAAAGAGGGGGACCUUCGGGCCUCUUGCCAUCGGAUGUGCCCAGAUGGGAUUAGCUAGUAGGUGGGGUAACGGCUCACCUAGGCGACGAUCCCUAGCUGGUCUGAGAGGAUGACCAGCCACACUGGAACUGAGACACGGUCCAGACUCCUACGGGAGGCAGCAGUGGGGAAUAUUGCACAAUGGGCGCAAGCCUGAUGCAGCCAUGCCGCGUGUAUGAAGAAGGCCUUCGGGUUGUAAAGUACUUUCAGCGGGGAGGAAGGGAGUAAAGUUAAUACCUUUGCUCAUUGACGUUACCCGCAGAAGAAGCACCGGCUAACUCCGUG
rnacentral:rRNA from 1 species